GACGAACGCUGGCGGCGUGCUUAACACAUGCAAGUCGAACGGAAAGGCCCUGCUUUUGUGGGGUGCUCGAGUGGCGAACGGGUGAGUAACACGUGAGUAACCUGCCCUUGACUUUGGGAUAACUUCAGGAAACUGGGGCUAAUACCGGAUAGGAGCUCCUGCUGCAUGGUGGGGGUUGGAAAGUUUCGGCGGUUGGGGCUGGACUCGCGGCUUAUCAGCUUGUUGGUGGGGUAGUGGCUUACCAAGGCUUUGACGGGUAGCCGGCCUGAGAGGGUGACCGGCCACAUGGGGACUGAGGUACGGCCCAGACUCCUACGGGAGGCAGCAGUGGGGAAUAUUGCACAAUGGGCGGAAGCCUGAUGCAGCAACGCCGCGUGCGGGAUGACGGCCUUCGGGUUGUAAACCGCUUUCGCCUGUGACGAAGCGUGAGUGACGGUAAUGGGUAAAGAAGCACCGGCUAACUACGUG
rnacentral:rRNA from 1 species